UGUGAAUAUAUCUACAUAUUAUAUUACUGCUACAGCCACAACCAGGUGUCAUUUGGAUUAGGGGAAGGUUUAUGUUUGUGAAUAUAUCUACAUAUUAUAUUACUGCUACAGCCACAACCAGGUGUCAUUUGGAUUAGGGGAAGGUUUAUGUUUGUGAAUAUAUCUACAUAUUAUAUUACUGCUACAGCCACAACCAGGUGUCAUUUGGAUUAGGGGAAGGUUUAUGUUUGUGAAUAUAUCUACAUAUUAUAUUACUGCUACAGCCACAACCAGGUGUCAUUUGGAUUAGGGGAAGGUUUAUGUUUGUGAAUAUAUCUACAUAUUAUAUUACUGCUACAGCCACAACCAGGUGUCAUUUGGAUUAGGGGAAGGUUUAUGUUUGUGAAUAUAUCUACAUAUUAUAUUACUGCUACAGCCACAACCAGGUGUCAUUUGGAUUAGGGGAAGGUUUAUGUUUGUGAAUAUAUCUACAUAUUAUAUUACUGCUACAGCCACAACCAGGUGUCAUUUGGAUUAGGGGAAGGUUUAUGUUUGUGAAUAUAUCUACAUAUUAUAUUACUGCUACAGCCACAACCAGGUGUCAUUUGGAUUAGGGGAAGGUUUAUGUAACUGUCAUAUGUGGCAAAAAAAUAGUUUACAUAACUAUAUCAUCCGGUGUAACUGCAGGUGUCUUUGUGAGUAACUAUUGGUGUCACUCCGUACGACUUCCUGUAUCAUUCAAUGUCACU